GUGUGUGUGUGUGUGUGUGUGUGUGUGUAUAUAUGUAUAUGUGUGUGUAUAUAUAUAUAUAUAUAUAUAUAUAUACACACACACAUACACACAC